ensembl:lncRNA
CUCUUAUUGUGCUGGUUCUUCAGGAAUUUCGACACAGCCUGAAUUGCUGAGGCAACGAAUUUCUGAGUACUGGAUGAUGAAGAUCAUAAUGAAGGCUGAACAGACCCAGGUCACCCAACCUUUCCUCACAAGAGAGGUUCUCCAGGCACCUUCAUGCUUGUGGCCCUCCGAUGGACUCUUUCCAGGAUAUCUUCAAAGUAAGAAGAGAAUACAGCUCCUGACUGCCUUCAGUAAUGACAGAUACGUGGACAACUUGGUAGGAGUCUGCCCUGGCCCUGAUUGAGUGCCCCGGAGCUGUCCACGGGAAAGUGCUGGAAAAGGAAGAAACAGAUGGUCCAGGCCAGAACGUGACAUGAUCCUAAAGAUGUCUCUAUCUUUGCUGGGGGAAGAAAUGAAGCCGUUACUCCCAGCGGGGAAAAGAGGAAACAAGAAGAUAUUUAAAGGAUAUGGAGGGGGAUUUUGAGAACUGCUAAGGUUCUUAG